rnacentral:tRNA from 1 species
GGUACCGAAGUGUAGAACCUCUGCCCUCCGAAGGCAGAGGUCACAGGUUCGAAUCCUGUCGGNACUU